UCUCUCUGAAUCUGCGAACGGCUCCGCAAACCAGUUGUAAACUAGAGCAAGCAAGCUUGGCGGGCUUCGGCCUCCAGGCGAUAUGGAUAACCCUGGUAAUUCUGAGGCUAAUACAUGACCGCAAAACCGGGCAGCCCAGCAAUGGAUGUUCGGGGAUGUGCGAUAUGGCUUGACAAUGACCGGGAAAGGACGCACACUCAGACCGCGCUAAAAAGGAUCGGGACUCUCUUCGGAGAACCUGGCCCCAGCGGCUCUUGCUGUGUGCUUCUGACCUAUCAACUAGACGGCAGCGUAAUGGACAUGCUAUGGUGACAACGGGUACAGAGGAUUAGGGUUCGAUCCUGGAGAGUGGGCCUGAGAGAUU
rnacentral:rRNA from 1 species